rnacentral:rRNA from 1 species
GCUGGAAUUGCUAGUAAUGGCAGGUCAGCAUACUGCCGUGAAUACGUUCCCGGGCCUUGUACACACCGCCCGUCACACCAUGAGAGUUGGAAAUACCCGAAGCCUGUGAGCUAACUUAAAGAGGCAGCAGUCGAAGGUAGAGCCAAUGAUUGGGGUGAAGUCGUAACAAGGUAUC